CCGGCUUUCUGGCUUCCAGUUCAGCGAUGGAAAACUACAUCAUUUUGGUGUCAGAAGUUCCAGAACCUGGAUCCAGGCACCUAGAAAGCGGCUGCUCCUCGGCCCAACCACCGCCGGCCCCAGGCACACAUGGGCUCUCCUUUCGCUAAGUUACCCACCACUUCGUUCAGCAAGGCACAAUUCCCACCACCGGGAACCAGUACCUUCAACCUGCUGUUCUCUCACAGGAUUUAUUCUAUUUACCAAUCAAAGGGAGAUCCAUGUUUCCACCAUUGACCCCUCUUUGUCACCUGUCCUCUCUGUGGACUGCAGCGUGGUCAUUCUUUACUACUAAUAUCCACUUACAAGAAAGCCCACGUCUGUGUCACACUUCUUCUCUGAGAGGCUCAGGAUCAGUGUGGAAGAGAAGGAAGAAAGAGUGUAAGAACUAGAGGUGUUGGAUAGCUACAAACAAACACGGUCUUCUGGACAUGGGAGGGCAGUGGUUAUGACGGAAUUCACGAGAGCUGUGCAAGCUUCAGCCAGGAAAUAAGAUACUGUGGAUUCAUUCUGUGUUAAGAAAAUUAAAGUUUUAUUGAGGAAGACUCCUUGAAAUAUCUCCAAAGGGAACAGAUGACCCAGAUGGUCCAACAUUUCAGAGUACCUCUGUUUCAGUUUCUCCUGAAUUCUGCAUCCAAAACAACUUCAAGGCUGCUGGUUGAGAUGAUCCAGCCUCACAGAAUACUUCCCAGUUAAUACUUGGCCAUAAUCCUAAAUUUUCUUUGGCUCCCCAAAGGAUUACCCGCACCCUCAAUUUGCAGAAUGUAACCUAGAAAACUACACCCACAUUCCCAAAAAUGGAUUAUGGAUAUUU